CCUAAGCUCCAGGCUAUAAAAACCCGUACCGCAAACCGACACAGGUAUCCGGGAAGAGAAUUCUAAGGUGCUCGAGUGAAUCAUGGCUAAGGAACUCGGCAAAAUGGCCCUGUAACUUCGGGAGAAGGGGCGCUGGUAGCAAUAUCAGCCGCAGUGAAAAGGCCCAGGCGACUGUUUAACAAAAACACAUGGCUUUGCAAAAUCGAAAGAUGAAGUAUAAGGCCUGACACCUGCCCGGUGCUGGAAGGUUAAGAGGGGAUGUCAUCCGCAAGGAGAAGCAUUGAAUCGAAGCCCCAGUAAACGGCGGCCGUAACAAUAACGGUCCUAAGGUAGCGAAAUUCCUUGUCGGGUAAGUUCCGACCUGCACGAAUGGUGUAACGAUCUGGGCGCUGUCUCAGCCAUGAGCUCGGUGAAAUUGUGGUCCCGGUGAAGACGCCGGGUACCCGCAACGGGACGGAAAGACCCCAUGCACCUUCACUACAAUUUAACAUUGACAUUGGAUACAGGAUGUGUAGGAUAGGUGGGAGGCAUUGAAGCGGCGUCGCCAGGCGUCGUGGAGCCAACGUUGAAAUACCACCCUUUCUGUAUUCGGUGUCUAAUCCCGCCCAGCGGGAGACAUUGUUUGAUGGGUAGUUUGACUGGGGUGGUCGCCUCCAAAAAGGUAACGGAGGCUUUCAAAGGUAAGCUCAGUACGCUUGGUAACCGUACGGGGAGUGCAAUAGCAUAAGCUUGCUUGACUGUGAGGCAGACAAGCCGAGCAGGGUCGAAAGACGGAUAUAGUGAUCCGGUGGUUCUGCAUGGAAGGGCCAUCGCUCAAGGGAUAAAAGGUACGCUGGGGAUAACAGGCUGAUCUCCCCCAAGAGCUCAUAUCGACGGGGAGGUUUGGCACCUCGAUGUCGGCUCGUCACAUCCUGGGGCUGGAGAAGGUCCCAAGGGUUCGGCUGUUCGCCGAUUAAAGUGGCACGCGAGCUGGGUUCAGAACGUCGCGAGACAGUUCGGUCCCUAUCUGUUGUGGGCGUAGGAAUUUUGAGUGGGGCUGACCUUAGUACGAGAGGACCGGGUUGGACCAGCCUCUAGUGAAUCUGUUGUUCCGCCAGGGGCAUUGCAGAGUAGCUACGCUGGGGACAGAUAAGCGCUGAAAGCAUCUAAGUGCGAAACUGGCCACGAGAUGAGAGUUCCAUAUAGGACCGUAGGAGACUACUACGUCGAUAGGCUAUAGAUGUAAAGGUGGCGACACCACAGUCGAGUAGUACUAAUCAUCCGAAAAA
rnacentral:rRNA from 1 species